rnacentral:piRNA from 1 species
CUGAGAUUCAUGGUCCCUUGCUUAGAAU